rnacentral:tmRNA from 1 species
GGGGGCGACCUGGCUUCGACGUGGGUAGCAAAACCUGAGGUGCAUGCCGAGCAUGCAGAUACGCUCGUAAAUCUGUUCUGUAAAAUCAUAGUUGCCAACGACGACAACUACGCUUUAGCUGCUUAAUAACCAGCGUAAAGCCCUCUGCCUGAGCCGUGCUUGUACGCUCAGAUUCCAGGGGUCGACUCUUACAAGCUCGCGAUGAAGCUCGUUCGGGGUGGAUUCGUUAAAAUCUUACCGAACUCGCUGAUUGUUUUCCCUGCCGGUCGGGUAGCAGUCAGCUAAAUCAAUAGACUCGGAUAAGCAUGUAGAGCCGAUGGCGGAGUGCUCGCGGACGCGGGUUCGAUUCCCGCCGCCUCCACCA